rnacentral:rRNA from 1 species
CGCUGGCGGCGUGCCUAAUACAUGCAAGUCGAACGGUCUUUCUAUGGAAGCUUGCUUCCACUGAGAAGAUAGUGGCGAACGGGUGAGUAACACGUGGGUAACCUGCCCAUAAGAGGGGGAGUAACAUCCGGAAACGGGUGCUAAUACCGCAUAGUUUUCUUGAUCGCAUGAUUGAGAAAGGAAAGACGGCCUUUGUGCUGUCGCUUAUGGAUGGACCCGCGGCGUAUUAGUUAGUUGGUGAGGUAAUGGCUCACCAAGACGAUGAUACGUAGCCGACCUGAGAGGGUGAUCGGCCACAUUGGGACUGAGACACGGCCCAAACUCCUACGGGAGGCAGCAGUAGGGAAUCUUCCGCAAUGGACGAAAGUCUGACGGAGCAACGCCGCGUGAGUGAAGAAAAGGUUUUCGGAUCGUAAAACUCUGUUGUCAGAGAAGAACAAGUUGGAGAGUAACUGCUCCAGCCUUGACGGUAUCUGACCAGAAAGCCACGGCUAACUACGUGCCAGCAGCGGC